CCAAUCGAACUCGGAGAUAGCUGGUUCUCCCCGAAAUAGCUUUAGGGCUAGCGUUGUGUUAGAUUACCGGAGGUAAAGCACUGAAUGGUUUAGGGGCUGAUAAAGUUACCGACGCCUAUCAAACUCUGAAUGCCGGAUAAUUGAUGACUAGCAGUCAGACAGUGUGAGAUAAGUUUCAUUGUCAAAAGGGAAACAGCCCAGACCUACAGCUAAGGUCCCAAAUGUAUGCUAAGUGGAAAACGAUGUGGAGUUGCGAAAACAACCAGGAUGUUGGCUUAGAAGCAGCCAUUCAUUAAAAGAGUUCGUAAUAGAUCACUGGUCGAGUGACUCUGCGCGGAAAAUAUAACGGGGCUAAGUAUGCAACCGAAGCUUAGGAUGUCCGCAAGGGCGUGGUAGGGGAGCGUCGUGUACGGGGUGAAGUCGCAGCGGAAGCAGCGGUGGACUGUACAGGAGUGAGAAUGCCGGAAUGAGUAGCGAGAAUUAUGUGGGAAUCAUAAUGGCCGAAAAUCUAAGGUUUCUUGGGGAAGGUUCGUCCGCCCAAGGUAAGCCGGGAGCUAAGGCGAGGCCGCGAGGCGUAGUCGAUGCACAUACGGUAGAAAUUCCGUAGCCACCGAACUUUAAACCAGAAGGACACUUUCAGAUAGCGGGACCCAGCCGUUGGUAGAGCUGGGCGCAAGGGACCGAAAUAUAGUAGGGAAGUCCGCGAUGCUGGGAGGCGAGAAAAGCUCUGGUGAAUACUAAGGUGCCCGUACCGCAAACCGACACAGGUAGAUGAGGAGAGAAUCCUAAGGCCAACGGGAGAAGGGUUGUUAAGGAACUCGGCAAAUUGACCCCGUAACUUCGGAAGAAGGGGAGCCUCGAAAGAGGCCGCAGUGAAUAGGCCCAAGCAACUGUUUACCAAAAACACAGGUCUAUGCUAAAUCGAAAGAUGACGUAUAUGGGCUGACGCCUGCCCGGUGCCGGAAGGUUAAGAGGAGAGCUUAGCGCAAGCGAAGGUUUGAAUUGAAGCCCCGGUAAACGGCGGCCGUAACUAUAACGGUCCUAAGGUAGCGAAAUUCCUUGUCAGGUAAGUUCUGACCCGCACGAAUGGCGUAAUGAUUUGGGCACUGUCUCAACAGCCCGCCCGGCGAAAUUGUAGUACUGGUGAAGAUGCCAGUUACCCGCAACUAGACGGAAAGACCCCAUGGAGCUUUACUGCAGUUUAAUACUGGGAAUCGGUAAUUCAUGUACAGGAUAGGUGGGAGACUGAGAAGCAUGGCCGUCAGGUCGUGUGGAGUCACCGGUGGGAUACCACUCUUGGAUUGCUGGUUUCCUAACCUGCGGCCCUGAAUCGGGUCGGGGGACACUGUUAGACGGGCAGUUUGACUGGGGCGGUCGCCUCCAAAAGAGUAACGGAGGCGCUCAAAGGUUCGUUCAGCACGGACGGAAAUCGUGCAUUGAGUGUAAACGCAUAAACGAGCCUAACUGCGAGACCGACGGGUCGAGCAGUAACGAAAGUUGGAGUUAGUGAUCCGGUGGUAUGUGAGUGGAAAUGCCAUCGCUCAACGGAUAAAAGCUACCCUGGGGAUAACAGGCUGAUCUCCCCCAAGCGUCCACAGCGACGGGGAGGUUUGGCACCUCGAUGUCGGCUCGUCGCAUCCUGGGGCUG
rnacentral:rRNA from 1 species